rnacentral:rRNA from 1 species
CAGGUUUACCUGUGUGACUGCGUACCUUUUGUAUAAUGGGUCAGCGACUUAUAUUCUGUAGCAAGGUUAACCGUAUAGGGGAGCCGCAGGGAAACCGAGUCUUAACCGGGCGUUAAGUUGCAGGGUAUAGACCCGAAACCCGGUGAUCUAGCCAUGGGCAGGUUGAAGGUUGGGUAACACUAACUGGAGGACCGAACCGACUAAUGUUGAAAAAUUAGCGGAUGACCUGUGGCUGGGGGUGAAAGGCCAAUCAAACCGGGAGAUAGCUGGUUCUCCCCGAAAGCUAUUUAGGUAGCGCCUCGUGAAUUCAUCUCCGGGGGUAGAGCACUGUUUCGGCUAGGGGGCCAUCCCGGCUUACCAACCCGAUGCAAACUGCGAAUACCGGAGAAUGUUAUCACGGGAGACACACGGCGGGUGCUAACGUCCGUCGUGAAGAGGGAAACAACCCAGACCGCCAGCUAAGGUCCCAAAGUCAUGGUUAAGUGGGAAACGAUGUGGGAAGGCCCAGACAGCCAGGAUGUUGGCUUAGAAGCAGCCAUCAUUUAAAGAAAGCGUAAUAGCUCACUGGUCGAGUCGGCCUGCGCGGAAGAUGUAACGGGGCUAAACCAUGCACCGAAGCUGCGGCAGCGACGCUGAUGCGUUGUUGGGUAGGGGAGCGUUCUGUAAGCCUGUGAAGGUGGCCUGUGAGGGUUGCUGGAGGUAUCAGAAGUGCGAAUGCUGACAUAAGUAACGAUAAAGCGGGUGAAAAGCCCGCUCGCCGGAAGACCAAGGGUUCCUGUCCAACGUUAAUCGGGGCAGGGUGAGUCGACCCCUAAGGCGAGGCCGAAAGGCGUAGUCGAUGGGAAACGGGUUAAUAUUCCCGUACUUGGUGUUACUGCGAAGGGGGGACGGAGAAGGCUAUGUUGGCCGGGCGACGGUUGUCCCGGUUUAAGCGUGUAGGUGUGUGUUCCAGGUAAAUCCGGUUCACUUUAACACUGAGGCGUGAUGACGAGGCACUACGGUGCUGAAGCAACAAAUGCCCUGCUUCCAGGAAAAGCCUCUAAGCAUCAGGUAACAUCAAAUCGUACCCCAAACCGACACAGGUGGUCAGGUAGAGAAUACCAAGGCGCUUGAGAGAACUCGGGUGAAGGAACUAGGCAAAAUGGUGCCGUAACUUCGGGAGAAGGCACGCUGACACGUAGGUGAAGUGAUUUACUCACGGAGCUGAAGUCAGUCGAAGAUACCAGCUGGCUGCAACUGUUUAUUAAAAACACAGCACUGUGCAAACACGAAAGUGGACGUAUACGGUGUGACGCCUGCCCGGUGCCGGAAGGUUAAUUGAUGGGGUCAGCGCAAGCGAAGCUCCUGAUCGAAGCCCCGGUAAACGGCGGCCGUAACUAUAACGGUCCUAAGGUAGCGAAAUUCCUUGUCGGGUAAGUUCCGACCUGCACGAAUGGCGUAAUGAUGGCCAGGCUGUCUCCACCCGAGACUCAGUGAAAUUGAACUCGCUGUGAAGAUGCAGUGUACCCGCGGCAAGACGGAAAGACCCCGUGAACCUUUACUAUAGCUUGACACUGAACAUUGAGCCUUGAUGUGUAGGAUAGGUGGGAGGCUUUGAAGUGUGGACGCCAGUCUGCAUGGAGCCGACCUUGAAAUACCACCCUUUAAUGUUU